ACAGUAUUUGUAAAGGGUUUACACAUAUUCAAUGUCGAUAAUGGGGCCUAUACUGUCGUAUGCCAAAAUGGACACUUGAUAAAUAAAACGUCUGGGUGUUUAACGUCUUUUUAUGGUCUCACUGCUCUUUUCCGCUCUGAGUGUUUUCUCACAGUUGUGGGUUCUUCAGCUUCAUCUCUGGCCUGCUUAAUGUCUGAGGUCUGUGUAUAAAGUCACGCAUUGUGGAAAAAAACAUCAAGGCUCAUGUCUUUGUCUUCACAUUUCUGCUGGUUUGCUCUUUUAUUUCGCUCAACUUGGUCAGAAUUAUUUCACUGCAUAUCAAUUUAAAACAGCCACAGAAUGAGGAAAGUGCAGCUUUCACUCUGUAAGUUACUAUAAUUUGUUUUUGUUUAAUUGUAUUGAUUUUGUCAUGACUGGAUUGUUUUACAAAGUGAAUUUGUGCAAUGUUAUUUUUAUCAUAUUCUUAAUCUGUGUUUCUUUGCAGAUCUGCUGCUGUGGACUCAAACUGUAGAGAGUUUAAUUGAUAAACGGGUGAAAUUAGGAGAAAAUGUGACUUUAGACUGUCAAAUUGGUGUAAAAGAGAUGUAUUGGGUUUUCCAGAAACUGAUAGAUUCUCCAGUGCUGAUACUGAGAACUUACUCAUCAGAAUCUACAGCAUCUUUUAUACCAGAGGACAGACUCAGAGACAAAUAUUCAUCACUCACUUUGAGCCGUUUGUUUAUUAGUAGCAUAACUAUUGAUGAAUUAGGAAUAUAUUACUGUAUAAAAAGAGACCAUAGAUCUAUACAGAUCACCAACGGCACCAGACUCUACAUCACUGGUAAGAUUUUUUUUUAAACCAUAUCAACAGUGUUAUAUAUCAUAUACAUAUUGUUAGAAUUAUGUUUGUUAUAGCAAAUAAUAUUUUUAAGACUUUAACAAUUACAAUUUCACAAUUAUUGAUUUUUUUUCUUUAAAAGAGUAAUUUGUAUUUCUUCUCUUCAAAUAGAAACCGAGUGCAACAAGCAACAAGCACAAGUUGAUAAAUCCCUCGAGAUUCAGAAGAUUCUGACUGCUGCAUCCUUUCUCAUAAACAUUGUGCUGAUUAUUGCAAUAAUAGGUUUGGUAAUGUUCAAGCUUCAGAAGCCCACAAAAAGUCGACAACAAUGCCAGAAUGUUGAACCUGUUGCUAGCACAGAUGCUCAAGAGUUUUCUGAAGUGGAGUUUCAUCUGCACAACCCGACCAGAAACACAUUUGGGAAGAAACAAAACAAGCAUGAUCGAGAUUAAAUUCUUUCACAAUGAACUAAAGGUUUUCUGCUAAAUAUUGAUGAGUCUGUUAUGUUUUUUUUUUAAAUAUGUCAUAUAUUGUUAAGCUAAACAUGUACGUAAUGCAAAUUCUUAGCUUCUCUUUGUUCUACUUUAUUCUUGAUUUUUUUAAAGUGGUCUUCUACUUAAAAAAUACUAUUGUAAUUUAAAUUAAAUAGAAUAGUGUUUUAUAGUAAACUACUUGAAGUAAUCUGUUGUGGUAUUUGUAAAGUUGGUUAUAAUGGACCUGAAAAUGAGUUUAAAAAAAAAAACUGCUUUUAUUCUAGCCGAAAUAAAACA